AGGGAUUGACUGUAAGACAGAGUUUCUCUGAAUCCAAGACUUUACGCUCUGCAGUAGGCAGAAGUACCUCAUCACGUAGACAAGGAAUCAUGAGGAGACAUUGGGGAGCUCUCCUGGGGCUCCUGUGCAUCCAGGUUUGCUGGGUGAGAGGGAUGACGGUGGAGCAGAGCCCUUCAGCCCUUAGGCUCCAGGAAGGAGACAGCUCUACUCUCAAAUGCAAUUUUUCCGAAACUGCGCGCAGUGUGCAGUGGUUCCGACAGCCCCCCAGAGGCGACGGUCUUAUGGGGCUGUUUUACAUAGCUUCAGGGAUGAAGCAGAGUGGGAGGUUAAACUGCACAGUGAAUACUAAGGAUCGGUCCAGCACCCUCCACAUCGGGGCCUCCCGACUGGAAGACUCAGCCACCUACCUAUGUGCAGCCCAGGCACAGUGCUCCCUGGUGAUCUGCAGCCUGCACCCAAACUGCAGCUGGGCCUGCAGUCCCCGCCCUUCCCCAGGGCGGGCACUUGCUCCAACUGCAGCCUUUGCACAUUUCCAGAUUUUCAGAUUUAUGUGACAGCAUGUUUUUCCUUCUAAAAUUAGACCCAUCGGGGUUGUCAUUUCACAUUCCUUGCCCAUUUCUUCCCCCAGAAAGCCCUUUGCUGGUAAAAAGCUCUAUCGUGGCAGCAUUGGAGCAAGUGACAGAGAUGCCCAUAUCCAGUACCCUGGGAACACAGAUGUCCUUGCAGUCAGCAUAUAAGUUAUUUGUAAGUAGUCAAAUGGAAAUGUCUUGAACAAUUAGAAGAUCUUGAACAAACAGAGGGAUCUGACUGAAUUUUUUAGUUACUGUAGAUUUUUUUUAUUUUCAAAGAAUAGUAAGGAGAAUGUAUGUAA